UAGGGAAUCUUCCACAAUGGACGAAAGUCUGAUGGAGCAACGCCGCGUGAGUGAAGAAGGGUUUCGGCUCGUAGAACUCUGUUGUUAAAGAAGAACAUAUCUGAGAGUAACUGUUCAGGUAUUGACGGUAUUUAACCAGAAAGCCACGGCUAACUACGUGCCAG
rnacentral:rRNA from 1 species